rnacentral:rRNA from 1 species
GUCACACCAUGGAGUCGGUAACACCCGAAGCCGAUAGUCUAACGAAAGAGGACGUCGUCGAAGGUGGGAUUGAUGACUGGGUGAAGUCGUAACAAGGUACC